rnacentral:lncRNA from 1 species
CCUUCCUCCAUCACUGCUUCUCCGGCAUCUCCUACGACCAGCGACAUCAAGCUCUCCUUGCACGUUCGCGCCGCUCUAGCGACGCCUGUCGACGGGCCCCCCUCGCCUUCAAGCUGCCUUACACACUCCACAGCGCGCAGCUAGGCUUGGGGGACAUCCUAAACCCUAAACAGGUGAUGGAUGAAGCUCCCGCAGACACACUCCCCCGAGUGAUUACGUGUUGGAGACGCUCCCCGAACCUCGGUUCGUUCCUGGUCAGGGCCAAGCUCCCUCCGCGAGCUUAGCCACGUCUUGUACCACACUUUGCAAGACACGGAAGCAUAUGUUUGCAUCCCUCUCCGCAUACCCUAUGACUCCCAGGGUCUGGCCGAUGGACUUCAGGUAUGUCCCAAGUCACUCCAGGCCACCCCCCUUUCGAGUCAACGCCAGGUCAACGCGGAGUCAACGGUCAGAACGGAAUAUUCCCCAAUAUUCCGACUGUAUCCCUGUUGACCGAGUCAAAACGGCAUAUACCGUUGGAUUCCGCUCUUCCUUCCGAUCGUGAAUAUGUGAGUUUCAACUCUGAACUCCACACAUGACUCGUGGAAAAGCGUGUAUUCCGUUAAAACGGUGCCGCUCCCUCGACAUCGGCGACACACGCCGACAGCUCGCGGGAUGGCUCUCCCCGACACAACCGCUGGACUCCGAGUAUGUAUGAGUGACCUCAGGCCCUCCACCACCACAGUCCACACACGGUCAACGCGGGGUCAACGGUCAACGACGGAAUAUUCCGAGAAUAUUCCCUGCAAAGUGAACCACGUUUUUUCGUCGCCGGGUACGUACAAGUGAUACAAGCAUUGUGGACGUAAUGCAUGCAUCAUAUCAUGCCGCGUUCACAAGUUAUCUCGCGUCAAAGGUACAUCACCCGCCGGACGAACGCUUACUGUCUUCGGCGAUCCGCCGAAGUCAUUCUCCGCGACUACCACUGCUGUGGAGUAACCAACACCAGCUGUGCUACGUUCGCACCCUUGCGAGCCAACGCUGCCACGCCACUUCGCAUGGCCGCCACACGGACUCGCGCCACGUGACAGAGCCAAAAUAUAAGUAGAGUCGGCACCGAGCUAGGGUUAAGGUAGACACUAGAUGACUACACUCGACUCGUCCACGUUCCAGAAGCCCCUCAAUGCCUACCAGUACCUCCCCUGGACGUCGGUUCACCCACGGCACCAGAAGGUGGCAUUCAUCCGCAGCGAGCUCCGGAGAUACCUCCUCCGCGAGAGCACGGCCGAUGGAUUCCACACCAUGCGCACGCGGUUCUACCACCACCUCCGUGCCCGGGGAUACCCGCCCUCCUUCCUCCAUCACUGCUUCUCCGGCAUCUCCUACGACCAGCGACAUCAAGCUCUCCUUGCACGUUCGCGCCGCUCUAGCGACGCCUGUCGACGGGCCCCCCUCGCCUUCAAGCUGCCUUACACACUCCACAGCGCGCAGCUAGGCUUGGGGGACAUCCUAAACCCUAAACAGGUGAUGGAUGAAGCUCCCGCAGACACACUCCCCCGAGUGAUUACGUGUUGGAGACGCUCCCCGAACCUCGGUUCGUUCCUGGUCAGGGCCAAGCUCCCUCCGCGAGCUUAGCCACGUCUUGUACCACACUUUGCAAGACACGGAAGCAUAUG